GUUUCCUUCCCCUCUCUGAUCUCCAGAUGUCUCUUACGCCAAGUGCUGCGGGGAUCCCCGCUCGGGGAGAGGUGCUCAAGGGCUGCCAGGCAAAGAGGAUGCCAUAAGAGAACUCCGGACAACUGAGAAUAACAAGCAAUGUUAAAAAGGGAAAUCAAUGAAGCCAGAAAUCAAAACAUUUCCAUUUCCUUCAGAAACCCACAAAAUUCUCCUUCUUCCCCAGCAGGUAAUCAAGAAGAGAUUUCAAACUGGAAAAAGUAGAGUAU